UACAGAGGUCCCAAGCGUUGUUCGGAUUUACUGGGCGUAAAGGGUGCGUAGGUGGCAAGGUAAGUUUGAUGUGAAAUCUCCGAGCCUAACUCGGAAACUGCAUUGAAUACUAUCAUGCUUGAGGAUUGGAGGGGAGACUGGAAUACUUGGUGUAGCAGUGAAAUGCGUAGAUAUCAAGUGGAACACCAGUGGCGAAGGCGAGUCUCUGGACAAUUCCUGACACUGAGGCACGAAAGCUAGGGGAGCAAACGGG
rnacentral:rRNA from 1 species